GAUGAACGCUAGCUACAGGCUUAACACAUGCAAGUCGCGGGGCAGCAUGGGGGUUGCUUGCAACCCCUGAUGGCGACCGGCGCACGGGUGAGUAACGCGUAUCCAACCUGCCCUUCACCACGGGAUAACCCGGCGAAAGUCGGACUAAUACCGUAUGUUGUCCAUUGACGGCAUCCGAUUUGGACGAAAGGCUUGGCGGGGAAGGGAUGGGGAUGCGUCCGAUUAGCUUGACGGCGGGGUAACGGCCCACCGUGGCUACGAUCGGUAGGGGUUCUGAGAGGAAGGUCCCCCACACUGGAACUGAGACACGGUCCAGACUCCUACGGGAGGCAGCAGUGAGGAAUAUUGGUCAAUGGGCGUAAGCCUGAACCAGCCAAGUAGCGUGCAGGAUGACGGCCCUAUGGGUUGUAAACUGCUUUUAUGCGGGGAUAAAGUGGCCCACGUGUGGGCUUUUGCAGGUACCGCAUGAAUAAGGACCGGCUAAUUCCGUG
rnacentral:rRNA from 1 species